rnacentral:snoRNA from 1 species
AGGCCAUUACCAAGGCUUUUUUCAAGAAUGUGGGAUCCUAUUUACUGUGGACAUGACCAUAAAAUAUUUUUCUCUACGAACCAGAUACUUGUAGGAAUAAUA